rnacentral:rRNA from 1 species
GGUGAGUAACACGUGGAUAACCUACCUAUAAGACUGGGAUAACUUCGGGAAACCGGAGCUAAUACCGGAUAAUAUUUUGAACCGCAUGGUUCAAAAGUGAAGACGGUCUUGCUGUCACUUAUAGAUGGAUCCGCGCUGCAUUAGCUAGUUGGUAAGGUAACGGCUUACCAAGGCAACGAUGCAUAGCCGACCUGAGAGGGUGAUCGGCCACACUGGAACUGAGACACGGUCCAG